UACGUAGGGUGCAAGCGUUGUCCGGAAUUAUUGGGCGUAAAGAGCUCGUAGGCGGUCUGUCGCGUCUGCUGUGAAAACUCGGGGCUUAACCCCCGGGCCUGCAGUGGGUACGGGCAGACUAGAGUUCGGUAGGGGAGUCUGGAAUUCCUGGUGUAGCGGUGAAAUGCGCAGAUAUCAGGAGGAACACCGGUGGCGAAGGCGGGACUCUGGGCCGAUACUGACGCUGAGGAGCGAAAGCGUGGGGAGCAAACAGG
rnacentral:rRNA from 1 species